UGCAGGGCCCCGAUCAGGGUCAGCUUAUCUCUUCUGCAUCAAGAGGGGUCAACUGCAAGUCUGGGAUGGUGGCUGAGCUGAUCUUGGGACCCCAGGCCCUUCUAGAACGAAGUCUCAGCGUGGGAGCCAGGAGCAGACAGGGUCUCGACCUCAGAGAGCUUCCAGCCUGAUGGAGAGAGCCGGAAGAGUCAGGCUGGCUCUGUGGCUGCCCGUGGUCUUGGGGCAGGAGGGCUCCAACUAUGGGCCUGGAAAAAGGAGGGGCAGAGGCUUGAGGGACUGGUAGAGACUGGGGAGAGAAGAAAGAGGCAGGGUGUUCUAGGCAGGAAGAUCAGUAUGGGCAAAGUGGGAAGGCUGGACUGAGUAACGUACAUAUGUGUGCACGAGUCUGUGUAUACUAGCGAGAGCAUGCCCUAGGGGCCUUGGAGAAUAUAAAAUCCAACUUUUCAUUUUAUUGGUGAGGAAGCUGAGGCUAGAGAAGGGAAGGGACAUGUCUCUGGUCAGAGUGAGGUCCUGACUGACUCCAGCUCCAGUCCAGGUUCUGCCUCCAAUUCCUGGGUUCUAAAGACGGAGGUGUCAAGCUGAGCUGCCAAGUCCCUCCUUCUCCGGCUUUUUGCUGGUCCCACAGUGGUCUUGGUGAUGCAGAGCAGGGGCUUAACAGUGAUGUCUGCCUUCUGGCCAAUGGGAGGGUCUGGGGCUGGGCACUCUAUCCCUGUCCAGGAGUCCCAAACAAACCCGGAGUGGCUGCUUACACCUCGGCCUUAUCCACAAGGCAUGUCCCAAGCCCAGACUCUGGACACCCAGAGAAGAACCCAGCACUGAACACCAGGCCGAAUGGGCUCCAACACCCACGCUAGAGAAAGCCCCAACCACCUGACCCAGAGAGAACUUACAACUGGGCUCUGAACACAGAGAAAAGGUCCCAGCACCUGACCCAGACGCAUCUACACAGGCUGAGUUUCCAUUACAAACUCAGUACUGGAUCACUACAACGCCAUCCAGAAACUCCCGUAAAGAACCGAACAUCCAAAUGCGAGCACCCAGAGAGGGUCCCAGCACCCAAACCCUGAACACUAAGAGGAGAUCCCAACACCCGAACCGGGUCCAUUUGGAUCUGCUUCCAACCCAGACCCAGAACAUCCCGAUUAGAUGCCUACAAUUGACUCAGAUCUGGAGCCCACACCGGGAAUGGACUCACCCAGUCCUCCCUCCUCCCCAUCCAGCCUCGGUGAGGCUCAUCCUGAGAGGUCUUCCAAGUUCGAAGACUUUUUCUGCCGAUAUGUGUGACCAUCGAUCGGGAUGACUGCGACUGGGGAAGGGAGCAGGAGGCCAGGCCUGUUCCCUUUGGGGGAAAGGGGAGGGGAUCCAGUUUGCAGGGCUAGGGUGGGAGCGGGCAGGCGGGGUGUGCGCCCCGGCCGCUUCCAGUCGGCGCGGGAGCUGGGACGGAAGCUGUGCGCCCUCGGAGCCCCUGCAGUCCCCUCACCGGGCGCUCCCAAA
rnacentral:lncRNA from 1 species